UACGUAGGGGGCGAGCGUUGUCCGGAAUUAUUGGGCGUAAAGAGCGUGUAGCUGUUCGGUAAGUCUGCCGUGAAAACCUGAGGCUCAACCUCGGGCGUGCGGUGGAUACUGCCGGGCUAGAGGACGGUAGAGGCGAGUGGAAUUCCCGGUGUAGCGGUGAAAUGCGCAGAUAUCGGGAGGAACACCAGUAGCGAAGGCGGAGCUCGCUGGGC
rnacentral:rRNA from 1 species